rnacentral:rRNA from 2 species
UUUUGACCUCGGAUCAGGUAGGGAUACCCGCUGAACUUAAGCAUAUCAAUAAGCGGAG